rnacentral:rRNA from 1 species
AUUGAACGCUGGCGGCAGGCCUAACACAUGCAAGUCGAACGCGCGGCGCACGGGGGAGUAAUGUCUGGGAAACUGUCCGAGGGAGGGGGAUAACUACUGGAAACGGUAGCUAAUACCGCACACAAUCGGCUGUGCCCCGAUGGGAUUAGCUAGUAGGUGGGGUAACGGCUCACCUAGGCGACGAUCCCUAGCUGGUCUGAGAGGAUGACCAGCCACACUGGGACUGAGACACGGCCAAGACGCCUACGGGAGGCAGCAGUGGGGAAUAUUGCACAAUGGGCGAAAGCCUGAUACAGCCAUGCCGCGUGUAUGAAGAAGGCCUUCGGGUUGUAAAGUACUUUCAGCGGGGAGGCGUUACUCGCAGAAGAAGCACCGGCUAACUCCGUGCCAGCAGCCGCGGUAAUAC